rnacentral:misc_RNA from 1 species
AAAAUAAUCCUACCCUUUGUGAAUUUUGUUUGUUUGAAUAAUUUUUUUUUUUUAAAAAAUUAUUAGAGUCUUUCCCUUUAGAGUUUGCUUCUGAGUUUGUAAAAGAAUUCGAAAACAUCUAAAGGGGAUGGUCAAUAAUUUUUUUUGAAAAAAGACAUUUUUUAAAAUUAAACUUUUUGUAUUCAUUUGUCUAAAAUUAUUUUUAUAAUAUAAAAACAACUUUUGACAAUGGAUCUCUUGGUUCUCGCAACGAUGAAGAACGCAGCAAAAUGCGAUAAGUAGUGUGAAUUGCAGAAUACGUGAAUCAUCGAAUCUUUGAACGCAUAUUGCACUUUUUUAGUUUACUAAAAAAGUAUGUCUGUUUGAGUAUCAGUAAAUAUUCUCAUAAAAAUCAUUGUGUAUUUUUAUGGUUAUGAGUGUUUUACAACGAUACAAGUUGUUUCACUUUAAAUUUUUUUUUAAUAUUGAAAUUUUUCUAAUUUUAAUAAUUAAAAUUGGAUAAAAUUUUCCCGUCAAAAGGAAUAACCUAAACAAUUUUAAAUGAUUAAUUUUAGCAAAAUUUUCGAAAAAAAGGAAAAUUUUUAUUAAAAUAACUUGAUCUCAAAUCAGAUAAGAGUACCCGCUGAACUUAAGCAUAUCAAUAAGCGGAGGAAAAGAAACUAACAAGGAUUCCCUUAGUAACGGCGAGUGAGCGGGAAGAGCUCAAAUUUGAAAUCUUCAAGGUUUUACCUUGACGAAUUGUAGUUUAAAGAAGUGUUUUCUGCUGAAGUUUUGGUAAAAGUUCUUUGGAAUAGGACAUCAUAGAGGGUGAGAAUCCCGUAUUUGACCAUUAUUUUCAGCUUUGUGAUACACUUUCAAAGAGUCGGAUUGUUUGGGAAUGCAGUCCAAAAUGAGUGGUAAAUUUCAUCUAAAGCUAAAUAUUGGCGAGAGACCGAUAGCGAACAAGUACCGUGAGGGAAAGAUGAAAAGAACUUUGAAGAGAGAGUUAAACAGUACGUGGAAUUGUCAAAAGGGAAGCGUUUGACACCAGUGUUGUUUUCUCGAAAAUCAAUUAAAAAUGGCUCGAUUUUGUAUUGCUUGAGACCUUAAAAGCUCACUGUACAUUUUUCGUGUCUUUUUUAAUGCACUUUUCGUUUAACAAGUCAACAUCAGUUUCUUUUGUUGUAAAAGGGUCAUUGGAAGGUGGCUUUCUUUUCGGAGAAAGUGUUUAUAGCCUUUGGCCUCUGCAAUCGGAGAGACUGAGGUCUGCAGCGUAGACUCUUCGGGGUUAGAUACAUUUGUGCUAAGUUAUAGCUUUUUAUAGACAACUUGUUGACUAUAAUUAGUCUUGUAGCUUACUCGCUUAUGCUAUUUUACC